AUGGAGAUGGCCAUUGUGAUGGCCCGGGAAAGCAGCGCCGAGCGUGAUGAUAUAGAAGAUCCAUUCAGUGAGGCUGGCAGUUUCUACCGUUUCAAGUUGUUUGUUUAUGAGCCAAGACUGAAGAUAUACAAGCUAAUGUUGCCUCUGCUACCAUGUGGCAACGCAACCAUGAAGGGCUUGACGUGUUGGCUGUCAAGAAGCACUAGGUCGACGGCAGGCAAGGCAUUCAGGAAGCCACAGCACGAGAGAGCGAUGACGCUCAAAGGGAAGAAGACAUGGGGUCAAAAAAAUGUUAAGAUUGACUUGAUGUGUGGUAAGGAACAUCCAGUUGAAAAGUUUUUGAUGCUUGAACAUCCACUACUCAAUUAUUCUUUUAGUUGUGAAGAGGAGUUCCUGAUUAUAGCUGAAUAUACCAGCCUACUUGCCUACAACCAAGGCAGAAUUAUCAGCAUGUAUGCGAAACAGCCUGCUAGCUAG
rnacentral:rRNA from 1 species